AGGAACUGUGUUAGGUACCGGCAGGUGCCGCCGGGAACUGCGUUAGGUACCGGCAGGUGCCGCCGGGAACUGCCUUAGGUACCGGCAGGUGCCGCCGGGAACUGCGUUAGGUGCCGGCAGGUGCUGUCGGGAACUGUUAGGAACCGGGUUAGGUACAGCCGUAAAUUAGAUAGACGGGUCUAAAUUAGAUAGCCGUAAAUUAGAUAGACGGGACCUGAGACCCGCUUCCCUCACUCUCACGGCCUCUCUGGGAUCCCGGGAGCUCCUUCCAGCUCCUACAUCUGGAUGAUGACAACUGAAGGUGCCAAGACUCAGGGACCCCCACCACCCUUGCUGAGCUGCGGAUAACUCUCCUGGUAGCGGAUAAAGAAAAGGAGGCUAACAGAAGUCAUGUCACCUGCCCGAGUCACACAACUAGUAAGGAGCAGAGCCCAGGCGGGAACCAAAACUGCCCAACUCUAAAACCUGUGCUUGUGACCGCUCAACUCUAUCCUAAUGUCCUCAAGGGAAAGACAAAGGCCCACAAACGCAGAGAA